CAAUUUCAGUAAAUGUACAUCUAAAAAUACUAUAAAUGCACGACAAUUGUACCUGUUUACAAGUGCGGGAUAUUUUGUUUUCAAAGUAAUGUUUAUAUUGGAUCUGUGAUUGGCAUGGGAAAUGGAAUGUUCAACGAAUUUGUGACCGGACUAUAUCUUUGAAGAAUCGUUGUACUCGCUAUGGUCGAAUAAACACAUACAUCGUUUGCAUCGUUUUGCAUAUAUGAGCAUACUUUGUUCGGGGAAACACGAAUAAUGAAAGGAAAGUGUGUGUUACAGUUAUUCAACCUUCUGAUAUUUAAAG